AUUGAACGCUGGCGGCAUGCUUUACACAUGCAAGUCGAACGGCAGCACGGGGGCAACCCUGGUGGCGAGUGGCGAACGGGUGAGUAACACAUCGGAACGUGUCCUCUGGGGGGGGAUAACCGGGCGAAAGCCAGGCUACUACCGAAUAAGCUCGGAAGAGGAAAGCAGGGGAUCGCAAGACCUCGCGCCGACGGAGCGGCCGAUGUCCGAUUAGCUAGUAGGCAGGGUAACGGCCUACCUAGGCGACGAUCGGGAGCUGGUCUAAGAGGAUGAUCAGCCUCACUGGGACUGAGACACGGCCCAGACUCCUACGGGAGGCAGCAGUGGGGAAUUUUGGACAAUGGGGGCAACCCUGAUCCAGCCAUGCCGCGUGAGUGAAGAAGGCCUUCGGGUUGUAAAGCUCUUUCGGUGGGAACGAAAUGGUUACGGAUAACACCCGUGACUGAUGACGGUACUCACAGAAGAAGCACCGGCUAACUACGUGCCAGCCGCCGCAGUAACAC
rnacentral:rRNA from 1 species